UACGGGGGGGGCAAGCGUUGUUCGGAAUUACUGGGCGUAAAGGGCUCGUAGGUGGCCAACUAAGUCAGACGUGAAAUCCCUCGGCUUGACCGGGGAACUGCGUCUGAUACUGGAUGGCUUGAGUUUGGGAGAGGGACGCGGAAUUCCAGGUGUAGCGGUGAAAUGCGUAGAUAUCUGGAGGAACACCGGUGGCGAAGGCGGCGUCCUGGACCAACACUGACACUGAGGAGCGAAAGCCAGGGGAGCAAACGGG
rnacentral:rRNA from 1 species